CUUCUAACCCCACCCAGACUUCCUGUGGCUGUCCAAUCACAGACUUCCCAUUGCAGGUCAAUGAAAAGUCUUUGCAAGGCAGGUAGUCUGAGCAAUUGCUACCUCGAGUUUAGCUCCACUGAAAUAACCAAACCAGGAAGUAACAGAACCUGUUGUCUGCUUGAAAGUUAGGGGAUUGUAACCACGUUCAUUUAUAAAAGUGUCAAUUUUAUUGAAAUCAGCACUUUUUGCAAAAUGGAAAAAAA